GUAUGGUACGAGAUAUGGUACUCCCUGUAUAUAGCCGCAUUCAGGUGGUCUUUAUUCCUCUUGUGUUAUCAUUUCAAAUAUUUCUUAUUUUUAACAUCAUUGGGAAAGAGCUCCAACAACCAUUGGUGAGAAGACCAGAGGUGAGGCUGGAGGUUGCUAUGAGACAGCAGAGAAGCAGUUCCUGAUGAGAGCUAUGGAGUUCUCAGCUUUGCAAGGAACAGUGUGUUUCCGGUGUCCUGGAACGCACCCUGUCUGGUUG